rnacentral:rRNA from 1 species
AGUGAACGCUGGCGGCGUGCCUAAUACAUGCAAGUCGAACGAAGUGGCGCACGGGUGAGUAAUAUAUAGUUAAUCUGCUCUACACAGAGGAACAACAGUUGGAAACGGCUGCUAAUACCUCAUAGUGUAGGAUGAGACUAUAUCGUAUCAGUUAGUUGGUAAGGUAAUGGCUUACCAAGGGUAUGACGCGUAACUGGUCUGAGAGGAUGAGCAGUCACCUUGGACGUGAGACACGGUCGGAACUCCUACGGGAGGCAGCGAUAAGGAAUAUUGCGCAAUGGGGGAAACCCUGACGCAGCAACGCGGCGUGAAGGAUGACACUUUUCGGAGCGUAAGCUCCUUUUAUCAGGAAAGCGGUACCUGAUGAAUAAGCACCGGCUAACUACGUGCCAGCAGCCGCGGUAAUUC